CCCCUAGAUGUUCUGGGCCGCACGCGCGCUACACUGAACAGUUCAACAAGUCUUAACCUUGGCCGAUAGGUCUGGGUAAUCUUUGAACGCUGUUCGUGAUUGGGAUAGACCCUUGCAAUUAUGGGUCUUCAACGAGGAAUUCCUAGUAAACGCAAGUCAUCAGCUUGCAUUGAUUACGUCCCUGCCCUUUGUACACACCGCCCGUCGCACCUACCGAUUGAAUGGUCCGGUGAAAUCUCGGGACGGCGGCUUGGUCGCUUGCGUCCGACUGCUGAAACUUGAUUAAACCAUAUCAUUUAGAGGAAGGUGAAGUCGUANCA
rnacentral:rRNA from 1 species